UAUGGUAAGUUGCAAACAUGGGCACCUUGAAUCGGAUCAAAUGCGGGGAAAGAUGUGGAUCCAGAGAGACUCCCAGUGCCACAAAGCUUUAGUGGAUAUAGUUCUCGAUAAGAGGUGGCAGAAAGAUGUUCACAACUAUCUGCGAUUCAGAUCAACUGCAGACCUAGAGUCAUUCCAGAAUCAUAUCCUGAUGUAUGCCAGCAAGCGCUACGCUUUCAGCCACCCAGUUUAUGAGGCAAGAGUUCUGCUUGCUGCUUUGGACUACAAUUUCCACCGGAACCGACCAACAAUGAAAACGUUGGACGGCAAAGAGAUGUACGUUUUACACUUGUAUAAUAUUCCCAUUCAUAGUACAAUAUUCAAUAUUCUGCUAAGUCCACUGUGACCAGCGCAUAUUAUUUUCAUUAGGUAGCCUAAAUUACAGUUUACAAUUUGAACAGUAAUGAUAAGUAAGGCUACAGCUGUCCCCUAUUAUGUAAAUGUAAAUAACAAAAAUUGGUAUUGGAAAUGUUAUGGCAAAGUUUGAAAUUCUAAACACAUGUUCAAAUGUAUAUAAUGAAAAUAAAAACACCAUGUGCUUCUA